GCUGGGCGCGAUGGUGCGCGCCUGUAAUCCCAGUAACUCGGGAGGCUGAGGCAGGAGGAUCGAAAGUUCAAGGCCAGCCUCAG
rnacentral:sRNA from 1 species